rnacentral:lncRNA from 1 species
CGCCUCCCCGUAGCUGUGCAAGCAAGAGGACCCAAGAGGGGUUCCAUUUUCGCGCGGAGCCGGAGCCGGGGCUUCUUCCUCGACGUCCCCGACGAGCACCUUCUUCCUCGGCCAGCGGCUUUUACCUGCAGCAGUAGGCGCACUUCUUCUUCUUCCACGUCGGGCGCCUCUCCUCUCGACGCAAGGUGAGCAAGACCGUGCCUCUCCCCCUCCUCGUUUCCUCUUCGGAAGUGGCGCCGAGCCUCCUGCUCGAGGCUUGCCGGAGUUGCACCGGCAGGCUGUACGUGUAGUUGUUUCUCUGCUAGUUGGCGCAGGCAGAGUAGACUUCCGCCGUUCGUGUCGAUGUAGACGAGGUAGCCCCACGGCUGUGCGUAGAUAGUAGCAGGGGAUCCAUCUCCUCGGGUUGCUUCGGUUCCUCCGGUAGCUGCUGCAGCAAUAGGACGCCGGCGAACUCCCUGUCGUCGUGCAGUUCCGUCGAGCAAAGUUGUAGCUUCUUCAGCUUGUGUGCAUGGUGUUCUCUGCAGGAGAGGCUUGUAGUUGGUAGUGGUAGUAGGGUUCUUCCUCCCCCUCGUAGCGCCAUCCCACUUCGGCAGGUCGCCCUCGAGCGGCGCAGCGGCAGCAGUUGCUCGCCACGGCGUCUUCUCUGUCGCCGGCGCGCAGUUGUGGAGCAGAGACAGCGAUGGUCUUGGUAUUUCUCGCUUCAGGUCCUUCCUCUGUCAGAUGUAGUUGCAGUAGCGCAGUGGUAGUGACUCCUGUUGGUCAACGAGAGGUGCAGGGUUCGAGUCCCCGGUGGUGCACCGCCCCUAUUUUUUUUGGUUUUAUUUCAUGUUCGUAAGUAGUACCAGCAGCAGAGAGGUUAUCUCGCCAUGUACCCCUCCUCUGUCGAGUGCAUGGUGAUCAGUGGAGUGGUAUUGGUGCUCUGGGUUACCAAAGGGAGUACUGGGAUCGAAUCCUAGGAAGUUCCUUUUUUUUUCUUUUUUUUUGUUUUCUCUUUGCUGCUAUAUUGAUUCAUCUUUGCUUUGUAGUUCCUGUUAUACCCAUAGGUGGUCAUGGCAUCUUGUUUCUAUUUUAUUUUCUUGCUGUUAUUUCUAUGUUAGGUGAUGUAGUGUGUGGCUUGUGAGAAUUGCAUGUGUGUGUGAGGCCAUUUACAUAUGGAGAAGCUUGACAUAUGGUGUGUGCAUGGUGGUGCUACCUAGUAGUUUAUCCUAGGUGAAGCUAGCAAGUGAAGUAGCAAACUUGUGUAGCUUCUUCUUUGUUGUAAGUGCUAUCAUGUGUUGAUGCACUAGGUUGUGUGUUUACAUAUGGAGUUGACCUUGUUUUAGUUGGUAGCUAAGAUCAUGUGGAGUAUGUGAGAGUGUGUGGAACUUCCCCACCCUUGCAAAAACUAUGCACCUUCACAUGUCUAUAUGUGAGAGGGCAUGGUGUUUGUGUGUGGGGAUAGUUUGGUAGAUAUGUUGGUAUUGUUGAUGUCCAUGACACAAACAUGGGGUUCAAACCCCCAUGUCACUUUGUCAUUGUACACAUAAAAACUCACCUAUGUAUUGUCAUCUUAGAAGCAUACCUUAUGGAGUUGCAUUUACAAUUUUGUUGGAAGUUUGGUCCUUGAUUCCAUGGUAUAGAUGGAGCCCAAGGGCAUGGAUCUUUGUGUGUUAAUAGUAGGGGUUUGUGCUCAACACCAUAGUGGUGUCAAUCACCUCUUGGUAACAUGCGUGUGCAAACUAUGCCUAGACAAAGUGGGCAUGUGGCUGGAAAAUUCCAGAUUUUUGAACUCUGAAAAUUUCACUAAGUCUGGGAUGCUGGAAACAUUUUCUUCCCCUGUAGAUAAGGAAGUGCUGGUCAUUCUGUUGAGAACUGGACUUAGUUCAGUGCUAGUGUUUUGAACCUGGGAUGUUUGUGAAGCUUCCUGUCAAUUUUCAAUUUAUUUAGAGUCCAGUAGCUUGUGUUUUGAUUGCUGUCAAAAAGCUUCAGAACAGAAACAGAAACUCAGGUGCAGGAAUUUUCACUAAGUCCCUGAGAACUGAUGGUUUUGGGAAAGUUUGUGGCCUUGUAUCUUCUAGAGUUUAAUUCCUUUUGCUGUGAUUAUUGCUGGAGCUUGUAGUGUUCUUGGUUGGCAACAGGCACAUAUAUUAUUUGUCAUAUUUGAAGACCUGUAGCUAUGUUUCAUGUGGCUCACAAACAGCUAAGAUGCAGAAACUGGCAGAUUGCAUAGUUUUGCCAUUUUGUUCAAAGUUUGUGCUUAAUUGUUGUUGUGGUGUUCUACCUUGCUCCUUUUCAUUCAUGUUGGGUUAAUAUAUGUCUUGGCAACCUGGGAACACCUGAUCUGUGCCAAUUGAGUGUGUGGGGUUGAAUCUUUCACGUAGGGCUUCAUAUCGUGUUUCGUCGAUUCCCGUUGAUCCGUAGCUCCGUUGGCAAAGUUCUUUAUAUGGUUUUGCACCCUUUUUACGAGAUGCAUCUGUUCAUAUCAUUCCCAUGCAUGUCCAAAUAGUUUAGUGCAAAAUUCUGUCCAGGAACUUGUUGUAGUUUAUCUUGCUUGUGCUAGUGUUAGAAAUAGUGGUGCAUGCUCAACUUUCAUCUCAUGCAUCAUGUGAUUGUUGCAUCUUGUGGUGCUGCUGUUCAUUGGCUUUUAUUCUUGUGUUGGGUAGCACCGGGAGCGGAGACCGAAUACGUGGAGUCAGCAGAGUACGUGCAGGACGAUCCAGAACCAUUCCAAGCUGAGGAUAUCACAGGCAAGAUGACAUGACCUUGAUCCCAUAUCUAGACUUGUUAUGUUAGUUUCGAUUCCACGUCAUAUUUCUCGCUGCCUACCACUUAAAAUAUAUUGCCUCUUCAUAUGCCAUGAGCCUAAACACCUUACUCUUUCCUAGCAAACUUGCAUGGCUAGGUAGGCUUGCUCAGCUACCAAUGUUAGCGUUUUAGUUGCAGGUGAUUUAAACUCAUGUGAUGACAUGAGAUUGAUAUCAUUAUAUUAAUUUCUGUUAUUUAAUUAAUGUAUCUAUAUACUUGGUAAAUGACNNNNNNNNNNNNNNNNNNNNNNNNNNNNNNNNNNNNNNNNNNNNNNNNNNNNNNNNNNNNNNNNNNNNNNNNNNNNNNNNNNNNNNNNNNNNNNNNNNNNAAAUAUAUAAAACUUUUCUAAAAAUGAAACUAACCUAAAAUGUACUAAAUCAGAGAACAUAUAUAGAUAAAACUAACCUAAAAUGUACCCAAAUGUACUAAAAAUCUAACUUUUAUAUGCACAGAGAACAUACAUACAUAUAUACAUGUUUAUAAAAAUGCAAAAAACAAAUCAUCAUUUAUAUGAACAAAGGAGAGGACAGGGUGGGCCGCGCCGGCCUGACCAAGGAGAGGCACGGCGUUGGCGUCGGUGUAGAGGGCGGCGACGGCGGCGUGGUCGGGGCAGGGGCGACGACGGCGUUGUCGGGGCAGGGGCGUGCCACUAACCGGGACCAAAGGUCACUUUUCAGCAGCCCAAAGGGCGGGAAGCGGCGGCCUUUCGUCCCGGUUGGUGGCACCAACCGGGACUAAAGGGUGAGCAUUGGUACCGGUUGGUGCCACGAACCGGUACCAAAGGCCCCUGUGCUGCCCGCGUCGCGGCCAAAGUUUAGUCCCACCUCGCUAGUUGAGAGAGGCGUGCAGUGGUUUAUAAACCCCACUGUCGCACCCCUCUCGAGCUCCUCUCCACAGCAGGCUUACGGACCUACUUGCUAAUGCUUUGCCUGAUGGGCCUUCUGGGCCUACUGCGGGCCUGAAUCCUGGCCCAUGGAUGGGUUUCUAGUCGUAUUCAGGCCGUGGUGGCCAAGUUGGUGGCAAUUUUUUCUUUUUUUGCAUUGGUACCAGUUGCCUGCCACACCCGUGGUGCGGUUGAAUGUUUAGUCCCACCNNNNNNNNNNNNNNNNNNNNNNNNNNNNNNNNNNNNNNNNNNNNNNNNNNNNNNNNNNNNNNNNNNNNNNNNNNNNNNNNNNNNNNNNNNNNNNNNNNNNCGAACGUGUUAGGAGCGAUCAUUAUGGAAUCAAACACCGGUAACCGGUAACUGAGGCGGCAAUAACGGAAGAAGACAACCGGCAAAAGGCUAGGCCUCCCAUCAUUUACCAAGUAUAUAGAUACAUUAAUUAAAUAACAGAAAUUAAUAUAAUGAUAUCAAUCUCAUGUCAUCACAUGAGUUUAAAUCACCUGCAACUAACAACGCUAACAUUGGUAGAUGAGCAAGCCUACCUAGCCAUGCAAGUUUGCUAGGAAAGANAGUGGUAGGCAGCGAGAAAUAUGACGUGGAAUCAAAACUAACAUAACAAGUCUAGAUAUGGGAUCAAGGUCAUGCCAUCUUGCCUGUGAUAUCCUCAGCUUGGAAUGGUUCUGGAUCGUCCUGCACGUACUCUCCUGACUCCACGUAUUCGGUCUCCGCUCCCGGUGCUACCCAACACAAGAAUAACAGCCAAUGAACAGCAGAACCACAAGAUGCAACAAUCACAUGAUGCAUGAGAUGAAAGUUGAGCAUGCACCACUAUUUCUAACACUAGNNNNNNNNNNNNNNNNNNNNNNNNNNNNNNNNNNNNNNNNNNNNNNNNNNNNNNNNNNNNNNNNNNNNNNNNNNNNNNNNNNNNNNNNNNNNNNNNNNNNAAGAUCUCUGACAAGGUGGCCCCACAUGGAAGGUUACAAGAAGGGAAAGUUCUACACUUGGGGCAUUACAAACUCUCCCACACUACAAAGAAGAUCUCGACCCCGAGAUCUAAGACUGAAAGAAAUCGGGAAAUUCGGAACGGAGGUGAUCCUCGCGUUCCCACGUAGCCUCUUUUUCGGAAUGGUGUGACCACUGCACUUUGAGAAACUUGACAGACUUGUUACGGGUCUUGCGCUCAGUCGCCUCGAGAACCGCAACUCGAUGCUCGCGAUAAGAGAGGUCAGGCUGGAGAUCGAUAUCCUGAAGAUGCACGGUGCGCUCGGGGUUCUUGAAACACCUCCGAAGCUGAGAAACAUGGAACACAUCAUGGACAUUUGCAAAGGUUGACGGAAGCUCGAGCUGGUACGCGAGGUCACCCCUCUUGCCAACCACUCUGAACGGACCAACGAAACGAGGCGCAAGCUUGCCUUUGAUGCCAAAACGCUGCAUACCCUUCAUAGGCGACACCUUGAGGUAGACAAAAUCAUCCAGCUCAUACGACAUGUCACGGUGCUUGCUAUCGUAAUAGCUCUUCUGACGGGACUGCGCUGCUCUGAGGUUGUCGCGAAUGAUCCGACACAUCUCCUCAGCCUCUUCUAUCAUAUCAUUGCCAAGGAUCUGACGCUCACCUGUCUGGGACCAGUUGAGCGGAGUACGGCACUUCCUGCCAUAGAGAAUCUCAAACGGAGCCUUGCCCGAGCUAGCUUGAUAACUGUUGUUAUACGAGAACUCCGCGAAAGGCAGACAAUCCUCCCACUUCAUGCCAAACGAGAUAACGCAGGCUCUCAGCAUGUCCUCAAGAACUUGAUUCACUCUCUCCGCUUGACCACUAGUCUGAGGAUGGAACGCUGUGCUGAAGCGGAUCUUCGUGCCCAUAGCAGACUGAAAAGAGUCCCAGAAUUUGGAAGUGAAGAUACUCCCACGAUCUGAUGAGAUCAUCAUGGGUACACCGUGCAAUGAGACAACCCUCGAGGUGUACAACUCUGCCAGCUGAGCUGCUGAAAUGGACUCCUUGACUGGAAGGAAAUGCGCCACCUUACUCAAUUUGUCGAUGACGACGAAGAUAGCGUCAUUGCCCUUCUUGGACUUCGGAAACCCUGUGACGAAGUCCAUCUCAAUGUGAUCGAACUUCCACUCGGGAAUCGGCAAAGGCUGCAAGAGGCCCGCUGGUCUUUGAUGUUCUGCUUUCACCCUUCGACAUACAUCACACUCAUUGACGAAUUGAGCAAUUUCACGCUUCAUACGGGUCCACCAGAACGACUGCUUCAAGUCAUGGUACAUCUUAGAACUUCCCGGAUGAAUAGAAAGCAGAGAAUUAUGAGCUUCUGCCAUGAUCACCUUCCUGAGAUCACCUUUCGGGACGACAAGGCGGUCCUCGAAAAACAAAGUGUCCCUGGCAUCCACAGUGAAACACUUAUACUUGGGAAGACUCUUUCCCACACCAAUCUUGACCUUCUUCACCAUAGUAUCAAGUAGCUGAGCUGCUCUGACCUGAUCUUCCAAGGUAGGAGAGAUCUGAAGGUUCGCAAGAAAACCCUGAGGAACCAGCUGAAGAUUGAGCUUCCUGAAAGACUCAGAAAGACCCGGCUGGAGAGGUUGCAGAAUCAGACUGUUGCAAUAUGCUUUCCUGCUCAAUGCAUCUGCCACAACAUUUGCCUUGCCUGGCGUGUACUCAACACUCGGAUUAAAAUCCUGGAGCAUUUCCACCCAACGUGUUUGCCGAAGAUUCAAGUUAGGCUGAGUGAAGAUAUACUUGAGGCUCUUGUGAUCGGUGAAAACUUCAACCUUACGUUCCAACAAGAGAUGUCUCCAAGUCAUCAAGGCGUGCACAACAGCUGCUAGCUCUAGAUCGUGCACAGGAUAGUUCUUCUCCGCAGGCUUCAGCUGCCUGGAGGUAUAAGCAACCACCUUCCUAUCUUGCAUCAAGACUGCACCAAAACCCUCAAGAGAAGCGUCGCAAAAGACCUGGUACGGCUUGGAAUCAUCCGGAGGAGCCAAUACCGGAGUGGAGGUAAGCUUCUCUUUGAGUGUAUCAAAAGCCAGUUGACACUCUGGAGACCACACAUACUUGACACCCUUCUAAAGAAGACCAGAGAGCGGCUUGGCGAUUUUGGAGAAGUUCUCAACGAAUCUUCUGCAAUAUCCGGCAAGACCGAGAAAGCUUAGAAGUUGCUUCACAUUCUGCGGAGGUUCCCAUUCAACAAUGGCCUGAACCUUGGACGGGUCAACUUUAAUGCCCUCGGCAGAGAUAAUAUGCCCAAGAUACACCACUUCUUUCAGCCAGAACUCGCACUUGGAAAACUUGGCAUACAGCUUGUAUUCUCUCAGUUUAUCAAGCACCAACCUGAGAUGUUUCUCAUGUUCUUCCUCAUCCUCAGAAAAGACCAGAAUGUCAUCGAGAUAGAGCAAGACAAACUCAUUCUUGAAUGGCGAGAAAAUAUAGUUCAUCAAUCGGCAAAAAGUCGGAGGAGCAUUAGCCAGACCAAAAGACAUGACCGUAUACUCAUAAGAGCCAAAACUGGUCCUGAAAGCCGUCUUUGGAAUGUCUUCCUCACGAAUGCGAAUCUGAUGAUAGCCCAUUCUGAGAUCAAGCUUGGAGAAUACUUUAGCACCUUUCAGCUGCUCGAACAACUCAUUUAUGUUCGGAAGCGGAUAUUUGUUCUUGAUUGUCUUCUUAUUCAAUGGGCGGUAAUCGACACACAGCCAUUCCGUGCCAUCCUUCUUCUUGACAAACGGAACACCACAUCCCCACGGAGACGAGCUUGGUCUGAUCAAACCCAAACGCUCCUGCUCAUCGAGUUGUCUCUUGAGCUCCUUCAACUCUUCUGGACCCAGCUUGUACGGCCGCUUGCACACUGGCUCUCUGCCUGGCUCAAGCUCAAUGACGAACUCCACUUCACGGUGCGGAGGCAUCCCUGGCAGCUCUUCAGGAAACACGUCCUGAUAUUCGCAGACUACUGGAACUUGCUCAAUGGGAUUGAUCUCACCCUUUUCAUUCAAGGAGAACAAGCGGACUGUGUCAUCGCGCGCCGCGAAUAUAAUCACAUCCUCCGAAGAGUGGGUCAGUUUCACUUCUUUAGCUUCACAAUCAAUUGAUGCUUUGUUCAUGGCCAACCAGUACAUACCAAGGAUCAAAUCAAUGUCGGACUUUCCCAAGACAUACGGAGAGGCCAGAAAAGCAUAAUUGUCCAUCUUGAUAGAAACAUCCGGAGCAAACCAACGAGAACUCAUAAGCAUGCCCGGAGAAACAAUAUCGAAAGACCUGGCCAACUCUUGAAGAUGGAAAUCGUACUUUGCCGCAAACGGAUAAGACAAGAAAGAAUGCGAUGCACCAGAAUCAAACAAGACUUUAGCAGGAAAAUCAUUGACUAAGAGAUUACCCAUGAUCACAUCCGACGAAUUCUCUGCCUCAGCUGCAUUAACCAUGUUGACUCGAGCUGAUCUGGGGUUGAACUUCACAAGAGCGUUGCUGGGAGGUUUGCCUGGAGGAGGAGGCGGCAGACGAAGCUGAGAAGUGCAUUUGUUGGCAUAGUGACCCUUCUGCCCACAUUUGUGACAAGUGACAUCUGCUGGCUGCCGGAACUGAAUCUGAGGAGGCCCUUGCUUCUGCUGCUGAUAUCUCUGCUGGAAUCCAGGGUUGGGUGGGCGGGAAGAACCACGUCCACCUGAGUGCUUCGGCUGCUGAGAGUGCCGAGGAGGAGGAGGAGAAACCCAAAACACUUGUUGCUUCUGAACCACCUGAGUCGAGGAAGAGCUGGAAUCUCUGAAACGUUUCUUGGAGUUCUCCACCCUGAGCAAGGCUGCCUCUGCUCUGAGAGCUAAGUUAUGGAAUUUGUCAAACUCCUCAGGAUCGUGCAAAGCGAGUGCUAACUGCAAAUCCUCCUUCAAGCCACCCCUGAACUGGUAUAUCUUGCUCUUCUGAUCCGGAACAUCCUGCAAUGCGUACCGGGCGAGCUCGUGGAACUCAACAUUGUACUUGUACACAGAAUUGCUGCCAUGCUUCAAGCGCCUGAACUUCUCACGCAUCUCCUCAACAAAACUGGAAGGAAUGUAGUGGGACCUGAAGGCACGACAGAACUCGUCCCAAAACAUCACCCUGCCACCUCUGGAGUCCUUAAGCUGCUGCCACCAAAUAGAAGCCUGCCCCUUCAACUGGAAUGUUGCAAACUUGACAUAAUCCUCUGGACGCACAUUGCUACACUCGAAAUGCUUGUUCAUAUCACGGAUCCAAUCUUCCGCGUCAAACGGCUGGUCACAACAAGUGAACGUCCUAGGCUGGUUUGACAGGAACUAACUCAGACUGGCGAAGUGAUUGCCACCCUGCUGGAAAUUGCCUUGCUGAUGAUUGGCUCUCUCCUGGAUCAACUGCAAUAGCAUCUGAGUAUUUGCAUUGGUAGCUGCCAUCAUUGCCUGCCAGGCCUCUGCAGGAGGAGGCGGCGGCGGUGGCGGAGGAGGAGGUGGAGGCGGCGUAUCCUCACGCGCUGGGGUCUGACGAGUUGGUGGAGCCAUCCUGAAGACGGACAGCAUAUUAGUCCACAGAAUAUUUGAAGAUAAGCUGAAUCAAAAGACAGAAUAUCUGAAUAGAACUUAGCAUUGCACUCGAACAACAUAGCAAGAGUGCAUUCUCAAAGUAACAGACGACAAAAUUCCGAUAAGGGGCCACAGCAAACAAGUGUGAGCUAGAACUGCUCGGAACAAACAUAAGAUCGAGAUUUCCCAAACCUCAAUCAAGCGUCUGUAGGAAGAUAGUCCUAUAAGAUACUACCAGAUAUCCCACCUAUAAAUUCCCGAAAUAACUGGUCAUGCAAUCAGGCACACGGAUACAAGGAGUAUUUCACACAACUCCUAAACUAAGCCGUCACCUGUAUCACAUCCUUCAACACGCAACCAGCAUCUCGGACCUUCGUUUACAACCGAUCCUCGUGAUCACAACGAUACCAAGUGUGGUAGUACCCCCGAACAAUCUACACCAGUACUGGGGACGUCGGGGUUAUCUCACCACUACCCGUAUUGAAGCAAUAACUAACACCCACCGUUCUUAGGUACUCAGAAAUCUGAAUGAUGGCGAUGUGCGCGAUAAUCCCUGGAGCUCAACUCCCCUGAUACUUAGAGCGGACAGGAGGCACCAGGACAUGAUUUCGUCACAUCGAAAUCAUAUAGAUUUCGCAAACACCCGCGUGAUCCUAAAAAAAUUUUGAGCGAGAAAAGGAGUAGAGUUAAAGAUUUCCUAAGACGGAAGCCUCACCAGAGCAAAGAAGAGGAGAAAAAUGAAACCUACUCUCCGAUAUAACUAAGACUCAAAACAUUUACUAGACUCGACUCGGCCAAAUACGAUCACACAAAGGCUCUUAUGGUCGUAAGGCUCUGAUUACCAACUUGUAACGACCAAGAUGCGGUCCUUUCCGAUCUGGGGGUCGAGGCCCCCGAACAGGAAAGAAGCGCAUAUAAGUGUUUCGCAAGCAAGUAAACAUAGCAUAUAACAAUACUUACAGUAGACAAUCUGGGAUUCAACUAUCUUCUUAUUAAAAUGCAGAGUACAACGCAGGUACAAACAAGGUAGUUCCGGUACGGACUACAAAACAAGGAAAAGGCUAUGCUACCCGCUGCAGGCCCACGAUCACGACCACGAUUUAGUCCUCUGGGUAGUUCACGUAAAGGCGAUCUGUCUCCUCGUCGUACUGCCGCGCCAGCUUGGUGCCGUCGGGAUACUCUGCCUCUGGGGUACCUGUACCUGCUGGAAGUUUCGGAGGAAUCCGUGAGCCACGGGGACUCAGCAAUCUAAGGCCUUGGUGCCAGAUCUAGCCAUGUUAUUGGGCAAGGAAGGGGUAAAGUGUUUCAGGCUGCUGCAUUCUAAGGCUGAAUAAGUGGCUAGCUUACGCAAAGGAGAAGUGACAGUGUUCUAUACUAACGAUCGUGAAUACUUGAUCAGAACGUGAUCCUGAACACCUACCUACGGCAUUCUUAACCCCACCGUGUUCCCGAUCGAAGAGAGAUCUUCGAAGGGACAGUCACGGUUACGCACACAGUUGGCAUAUUUUAUUAGUUUAUGUUUAAGUUUUCUAAUACCGGAUGUUAACAAAAUAUUCCAAGUUGCCACAUAACCGCGGGCACGGCUUUCCGAAAGAUUAAACCCUGCAGGGGUGCUCCAACUAGUUCAUCACAAACGAACACAGGCCGCAAAGGUAUCCUCUAUCACGAAUCUCGUGAUCUCGUCGGAUUCCUUAGAGAAAACCUCAACUCUGGGUGAAACCAAAGCUUCACCGGAAUUCCUAUACGCAAGAUAAACCGCUAAGGCAAGACAAGACUAGCAGGACCUCCCGACGUGUCGACGACCCUGAUAAGAGCCGCGUAUCUCAGUCUUAGGACACGCCGGAUGAGUCACACUACAGGUAUACCAAACCUCAGGUUGCCCUGUGGUGGCCCCAUAGUCUGCUCAGUUUGGACCAACACUCAUGAGGAGCACUGGCCCGAGUUGUUGAUUAAGAAACCUCGGGGUAGCUAUUCCCUAUGCAGUUUAUUAUUAAGUGAUUAGCAAAUAGUACCAAUGUUGGGUCCUGCCGGACACGCCUUAACACUACGCGAUUUAUCAAGGGGGUCCCCAUAACAACCCCGAACGUGUUAGGAGCGAUCAUUAUGGAAUCAAACACCGGUAACCGGUAACUAAGGCGGCAAUAACGGAACAAGACACCCGGCAAAAGGCUAGGCCUCCCGACAUUUACCACAUAUAUAGGUACCUUAAUUAAAUAAAAGGAAUUAACAUAAUGAUAUCAAGCUCAGGGCAACUCAUGAGUUAUAAACACCUGCAACUAGCAAUGCUAACAUUAGUAGCUGAGCAAGCCUACCUAGCCAUGCAAGUUUGCUAGGAAAGAGUAAGGUGUUUAGGCUUACGGCAUAUGAAGAGGUAAUAUAUUUUCAGUGGUAGGCAGCGAGCUAUAACGUGGAAUCGAAACUAACAUAACANNNNNNNNNNNNNNNNNNNNNNNNNNNNNNNNNNNNNNNNNNNNNNNNNNNNNNNNNNNNNNNNNNNNNNNNNNNNNNNNNNNNNNNNNNNNNNNNNNNNAUGUUAAGAACGCUUGGUUAGCACGUAAGGAGGACUACUCAGUAGUUCAAUGUGCAGUCUUGUAUGGCUUAGAACCGGGACUUCAACGUCGCUUUGAGCGUCAUGGAGCAUUUAGAUGUUCCAGGAGUUGAAGUUUAUCUUUCAGAAGAACGCCCGGAUCGAGAGGUAUGAGACCUCCGAUAAAUUCUAUGCUUGCAAGAUGGAGGAGAACUCGUCUGUCAGUGAACAUGUGCUCAAAAUGUCUGGGUACUCAAACCGUCUAGCUGAGCUGGGGAUUGAACUCCCGCAAGAGGCUAUCACUGACAGAAUCCUUCAAUCACUGCCGCCAAGCUAUAAAGGCUUUGUGUUGAACUACAACAUGCAAGGGAUGAACAAGUCACCCGGCGAGUUGUUUGCGAUGCUGAAAGUCGCAGAGUCUGAACUCCGUAAAGAACAUCAAGUGUUGAUGGUGAAUAAGACCACUAGUUUCAAGAGAAACAACAAAGGCAAGAAGGGUAAUUCAAAGAAGAGCGGCAUGCCCGUUGCCAAUCCGACGAAGAAACCCAAAGCUGGACCUAAGCCUGAAACGGAGUGUUACUAUUGCAAGGGUAUGGGUCAUUGGAAGCGCAAUUGCCCCAAGUAUCUGGCAGAUAAGAAGGCGGCCAAAGAAAAAUCAGGUAUAUUUGACAUACAUGUUAUUGAUGUGUACUUAACCGGCUCUCGUAGUAGUGCCUGGGUAUUCGAUACCGGUUCUGUUGCUCAUAUUUGCAACUCGAAAUAGGAACUGCGGAAUAGACGAAGGCUGGCGAAAGAUGAAGUGACGAUGCGCGUAGGAAAUGGUUCCAAGGUUGAUGCAAUCACCGUCGGCACAGUUUCACUUCAGUUACCAUCAGGAUUAGUGGUGAACUUAAAUCAUUGUCAUUUAGUGCCUGCGUUGAGCAUGAACAUUAUAUCUGGAUCUUGUUUAUUGCAAGACGGUUACUCUUUUAAGUCAGAGAAUAAUGGUUGUUCUAUUUCUAUGAGUAACAUCUUUUAUGGUCAUGCACCUAAUGUGAGAGGAUUGUUCAUAUUGAAUCUUGAUAGCGAUACACACAUACAUAACAUUGAGACCAAAAGAGUUAGAGUUAACAAUGAUAGCGCCAUAUUUUUUGUGGCACUGCCGCUUGGGUCAUAUUGGUGUAAAGCGCAUGAAGAAACUCCAUGCUGAUGGACUUUUGGAGUCACUUGACUUUGAUUCACUUGACACGUGCGAACCAUGCCUCAUGGGCAAGAUGACUAAGACUCCGUUCUCCGGAACAAUGGAGCGUGCAAGUGACUUGUUGGAAAUCAUACAUACCGAUGUGUGUGGUCCGAUGAGCGUGGAGGCACGCGGCGGAUAUCAUUAUUUUCUCACCUUCACUGACGAUUUGAGUAGAUAUGGUUAUGUCUACUUGAUGAAACACAAGUCUGAAACAUUUGAAAAGUUCAAGCAAUUUCAGAGUGAAGUUGAAAAUCAUCGUAACAAGAAGAUCAAGUUCCUACGGUCUGAUCGUGGGGGUGAAUAUCUGAGUUUCGAGUUUGGUGCUCACUUAAGACAAUGUGGAAUUGUUUCACAGUUGACACCGCCUUGAACACCACAGCGUAAUGGUGUGUCCGAACGUCGUAAUCGUACUUUAUUAGAGAUGGUGCGAUCUAUGAUGUCUCUUACCAAUUUGCCGUUAUCGUUUUGGGGUUAUGCAUUAGAAACAGCUGCAUUCACUUUAAAUAGGGCACCAUCAAAAUCCGUUAAGACGACACCAUAUGAACUGUGGUAUGGCAAAAGGCCAAAGUUGUCGUUUCUUAAAGUUUGGGGAUGUGAUGCUUAUGUCAAAAAGCUUCAGCCUGAAAAGCUGGAACCCAAAGCGGAAAGGUGCGUCUUCAUAGGUUACCCAAAAGAGACAGUUGGGUACACCUUCUAUCUCAAAUCCGAGGGCAAAGUGUUUGUUGCUAAAAACGGAGCUUUUCUCGAGAAGGAGUUUCUCUCGAGAGAAUUGAGUGGGAGGAAGAUAGAACUUGACGAGGUUGUCGAACCUCUCAUCCCUCUGGAUGGUGGCGCAGGACAAGGGGAAACCUCUGUCGUUGCGACGCCGGUUGAGGAGGAAGUUAAUGAUGAUGAUCAUGAAACUCCAGUUCAAGUUUCUGUCGAACCACGCAGGUCGACGAGACCACGUGCUGCUCCAGAGUGGUACGGUAAUCCCGUCUUGUCAAUCAUGUUGUUAGACAACAAUGAACCUGCAAAUUAUGAAGAAGCAAUGGUGGGCCUAGAUUCCAACAAAUGGCUAGAAGCCAUGAAGUCCGAGAUAGGAUCCAUGUAUGAGAACAAAGUGUGGACUUUGGAGGUACUACCUGAGGGCCGCAAGGCUAUUCAGAACAAAUGGAUCUUUAAGAGGAAGACGGACGCUGACGGAAAUGUGACCGUUUAUAAAGCUCGACUUGUGGCAAAGGGUUUUUCACAAGUUCAAGAAGUUGACUACGAUGAGACUUUCUCACCCAUAGUAAUGCUUAAGUCCGUCAGAAUCAUGUUAGCAAUAGCUGCAUUUUUCGAUUAUGAAAUCUGGCAGAUGGAUGUCAAAACGGCAUUCCUUAACGGUUUCCUUAAGGAAGAAUUGUAUAUGAUGCAACCCGAAGGUUUUGUCGAUCCUAAGAAUGCCAACAAGGUGUGCAAGCUCCAGCGAUCCAUUUAUGGACUGGUGCAAGCAUCUCGGAGUUGGAACAAACGCUUUGAUGAAGUGAUCAAAGCAUUUGGGUUUAUACAAGUGGUUGGAGAAUCUUGUAUUUACAAGAAAGUGAGUGGGAGCUUUGCAGCGUUUCUAAUAUUAUAUAUGGAUGACAUAUUGCUGAUUGGAAACAACAUGGAGUUUUUAGAGAGCAUAAAGGAUUACUUGAAUAAAAGUUUCUCUAUGAAGGACCUAGGAGAAGAUGCUUACAUUCUAGGCAUUAAGAUCUAUAGGGAUAGAUCAAAACGCCUGAUAGGACUUUCACAAAGCACAUACCUUGAUAAAGUUUUGAAGAGGUUCAAAAUGGAACAGUCCAAGAAAGGGUUCUUGCCAGUUUUACAAGGUACAAGAUUGAGUAAGACUCAGUGCCCAGCAACUGAUGAAGAUAGAGAGCAUAUGCGCUCCGUCCCCUAUGCUUCAGCCAUAGGUUCUAUCAUGUAUGCAAUGCUGUGCACUAGACCGGAUGUUAGCCUGACCAUAAGUAUGGCAGGUAGGUUCCAGAGUAAUCCAGGAGUGGAUCACUGGACAACGGUCAAGAAUAUCCUGAAGUACCUGAAAAGGACUAAGGAGAUGUUUCUCGUGUAUGGAGGUGACGAAGAGCUCGCCGUAAAAGGUUACAUCGAUGCAAGCUUUGACACAGAUCCGGACGACUCUAAGUCACAAACCGGAUACGUAUUUAUUCUUAAUGGGGGUGCGGUAAGCUGGUGCAGUUCCAAGCAAAGCGUCGUAGCAAAUUCUACAUGUGAAGCGGAGUACAUGGCUGCCUUGGAGGCGGCUAAGGAGGGUGUCUGGAUGAAGCAGUUCAUGACGGAUCUUGGAGUGGUGCCAAGCGCACUGAAUCCAAUAACCUUGUUCUGUGACAACACGGGUGCCAUUGCCUUAGCAAAGGAACCACGGUUUCACAAGAAGACUAGACACAUCAAACUACGCUUCAACCUCAUCCGCGACUACGUCGAGGAGGAGGACGUAAAUAUAUGCAAAGUGCACACGGAUCUGAAUGUAGCAGACCCGCUGACUAAACCUCUUCCACGGCCAAAGCAUGAUCAACACCAGAACUGUAUGGGUGUUAGAUUUAUUACAAUGUAAUUCGCAUGAUGAUGUGAGGGCUAGAUUAUAGACUCUAGUGCAAGUGGGAGACUGUUGGAAUUAUGCCCUAGAGGCAAUAAUAAAUAUAGUUAUUAUUAUAAUUCCUGUAUCAAGAUAAUCGUUUAUUAUCCAUGCUAUAAUUGUAUUGAAUGAAGACUCAUUUACAUGUGUGGAUACAUAGACAAAACACCGUCCCUAGCAAGCCUCUAGUUGGCUAGCCAGUUGAUCAAAGAUAGUCAGUGUCUUCUGAUUAUGAACAAGGUGUUGUUGCUUGAUAACUGGAUCACGUCAUUGGGAGAAUCACAUGAUGGACUAGACCCAAACUAAUAGACGUAGCAUGUUGAUCGUGUCAUUUUGUUGCUACUGUUUUCUGCGUGUCAAGUAUUUAUUCCUAUGACCAUGAGAUCAUAUAACUCACUGACACCGGAGGAAUGCUUUGUGUGUAUCAAAUGUCGCAACGUAACUGGGUGACUAUAAAGAUGCUCUACAGGUAUCUCCGAAGGUGUUAGUUGAGUUAGUAUGGAUCAAGACUGGGAUUUGUCACUCCGUGUGACGGAGAGGUAUCUCGGGGCCCACUCGGUAAUACAACAUCACACACAAGCCUUGCAAGCAAUGUGACUUAGUGUAAGUUACGUGAUCUUGUAUUAGAGAACGAGUAAAUAGACUUGCCAGUAAACGAGAUUGAAAUAGGUAUGCGGAUACUGACGACCGAAUCUCGGGCAAGUAACAUGCCGAAGGACGCAGGGAAUGACAUAUGGGAUUAUAUGAAUCCUUGGCACUGAGGUUCAAACGAUAAGAUCUUCGUAGAAUAUGUAGGAUCCAAUAUGGGCAUCCAGGUCCCACUAUUGGAUAUUGACCGAGGAGUCUCUCGGGUCAUGUCUACAUAGUUCUCGAACCGCAGGGUCUGCACACUUAAGGUUCGACGUUGUUUUAUGCGUAUUUGAGUUAUAUGGUUGGUUACCGAAUGUUGUUCGGAGUCCCGGAUGAGAUCACGGAUCUCACGAGGGUUUCCGGAAUGGUCCGGAAACGAAGAUUGAUAUAUAGGAUGACCUCAUUUGAUUACCGGAAGGUUUUCGGAGUUACCGGGAAUGUACCGGGAAUGACGAAUGGGUUCCGGGAGUUCACCGGGAGGGGGCAACCCACCCCGGGGAAGCCCAUAGGCCUUGAGGAUGGCACACCAACCCUUAGUGGGCUGGUGGGACAGCCCAAAAGGGCCCUAUGCGCCUAGAAAAGAAAAUCAAAGAGAAAAGAAAAAAAAGGAGGUGGGAAGGGAAGGAAGGACUCCCACCCACCAAACCAAGUCCAACUCGGAUUGGGGGGGGGGAGCCAUCCCCCUUGGACUCGGCCGACCCCCUUGGGGCUCCUUGAGCCCCAAGGCAAGGUCCCCUCUCCCUCCCACCUAUAUAUACGGAGGUUUUAGGGCUGAUUUGAGACGUUUUUUCCACGGCAGCCCGACCACAUACCUCCACGGUUUUUCCUCUAGAUCGCAUUUCUGCGGAGCUCGGGCGGAGCCCUGCUGAGACAAGGUCAUGACCAACCUCCGGAGCGCCGUCACGCUGCCGGAGAACUCUUCUACCUCUCCGUCUCUCUUGCUAGAUCAAGAAGGCCGAGAUCAUCGUCGAGCUGUACGUGUGCUGAACGCGGAGGUGCCGUCCGUUCGGUACUAGAUCGUGGGACUGAUCGCGGGAUUGUUCGCGGGGCGGAUCGAGGGACGUGAGGACGUUACACUACAUCAACCGCGUUCACUAACGCUUCUGCUGUACGGUCUACAAGGGUACGUAGAUCACUCAUCCCCUCUCGUAGAUGGACAUCACCAUGAUAGGUCUUCGUGCGCGUAGGAAAAUUUUUGUUUCCCAUGUGACGUUCCCCAAGAAUGGAUUCAUUCAUGAAAUUCACCCAACUUUUGCCGGCAUCUGAGAAUGCACAUGCAAUGAUGCCACGCAAAAUUUCGACGCAAUCGGAGACCAAACGCACAUUGCGUCACGUCCGGCAUCUGUUUCUGCCGGUUUUUAAAUAGAAAUUCAUAAAAAAGCACGGAAUGUGAGAAAAUUCUAAAAUUUGACGUGCCGCCUUGUGAAGUUCAUCGUGAAGCGUGAAAAAAAUGAAUUUUUUUCAUGAAGGGGAGUUGCAAAAUGGCGUUGUAGCACCCCUUCCGUCCAUACCGACACUCAUGGGUUGCACAUGAAGUACACGGAUGCAUUCAUGAAAUUAACCCAACUUUUGCCGGCACGUGAGAAUGCACAUGCAGUGAUGCCACACAAAAUUUCGACGAAAUCGGAGACCAAACGCACGUUGCGUCACGUCCGGCAUCUGUUUUUGCCGGUUUUUGAAUGGAAAUUUUAAAAAAAGCACGGAUUGUCAGAAAAUUCUAAAAUUUGACGUGCCGCCUUGUGAAGUUCAUCGUAAAGUGUGAAAAAAAUGAAAUUUUUUCAAGAUGGGGAUUUGCAAGAUGGCGUUGUAUCAACCCUUCUCUCCAUACCGACACCCAUGGGUUGCACAUGAAGUAGAUGGAUGCAUUCAUGAAAUUCACCCAACUUUUGCCGACACCUGAGAAUGCAUAUGCAAUGAUGCCACACAAAAUUUCGACGAAAUCGGAUACCAAACGCACGCUGGGUCACGUCCGGCAUCUGUUUUUGCUGGUUUUUGAAUGGAAAUUCAUAAAAAACAUGGAUUGUCAGAAAAUUCUAAAAUUUGACGUGCCUCCUUGUGAAGUUCAUCGUAAAGCGUGGAAAAAUGAAAAAAAUUAAUGAAGGGGAGUUGCGAGAUGGCGUUGUAGCACCCCUUCCGUCCAUACCGACACCCAUGGGUUGCACAUGAAGUACAUGGAUUCAUUCAUGAAAUUCACCCAACUUUUGCCGGCAUCUGAGAAUGCACAUGCAAUGAUGUCACGCAAAAUUUCGAUGAAAUCGGAGACCAAACGCACGUUGCGUCACGUCCAGCAUCUGUUUUUGCCGGUUUUUGAAUAGAAAUUCAUAAAAAAGCACGGAUUGUCAGAAAACUCUAAAAUUUGACGUGCCGCCUUGUGAAUUUCUUCGUGAAGCGUGAAAAAAAAUGAAAUUUUUUCAUGAAGGGGAGUUACAAGAUGGCGUUGUAGCACCCCUUCCGUCCAUACUGACACCCAAGGGUUGCACAUGAAGUACGUGGAUACACUCAUGAAAUUCACCCAACUUUUGCCGGCACGUGAGAAUGCACAUGCAAUGAUGACACGCAAAAUUUCAACGAAAUUAGAGACCAAACGCACGUUGCGUCACGUCCGGCAUCUGUUUUUGUCGGUUUUUGAAUGGAAAUUCAUAAAAAAGGACGGAUUGGUGGAAAAUUCUAAAAUUUGACGUGCCGCCUUGUGAAGUUCAUCGUGAAGCGUGGAAAAAAUGAAAAAAUUUCAUGAAGGGGACUUGCAAAUUCAUAUGGAAAUAUUUCAUGUAGGAGACUUGCAAAUAUUCAUAUGAAAAAAAAAUGAAAAAAAUACACCCGACGUCGUCAUAUUGUUUUCCCACGACGGCGGGAUUAGCGACGUUGCAUACCCUAGCCACAUCUACGUGAUCUCGCCGCCGCCGCGCCCCGACGCCUCGCUCUGCACCCGACGUGAUCUCGCCACCCCCUCUCCCCCGACGCCUAGCCGUACGCCGACGUGAUCUCGCCGCCCUCCAUCCCUCCCGACGCCGCACCAUCACAACUUCGUGACCGUGGCCGUCACCGUCCGUCCGCGCGUCGCCGUCCAUCACCGUCACCAUCUGUCCGCCGUCGGUCGUCACCGUCCAUCGUCCUUCACCGUCCGUCGCCGUCGGCCUUGACCGUACGUCAGUGCGUCGCCGCGGCCUUCACCGUUCGNNNNNNNNNNNNNNNNNNNNNNNNNNNNNNNNNNNNNNNNNNNNNNNNNNNNNNNNNNNNNNNNNNNNNNNNNNNNNNNNNNNNNNNNNNNNNNNNNNNNACUAUGGGGCCACCACAGGGCAACCUGAGGUUUGGUAUACCUGUAGUGUGACUCAUCCGGCGUGUCCUGAUACUGAGAUACGCGGCUCUUAUCAGGGUCGUCGACACGUCGGGAGGUCCUGCUAGUCUUGUCUUGCCUUAGCGGUUUAUCUUGCGUAUAGGAAUUCCGGUGAAGCUUUGGUUUCACCCAGAGUUGAGGUUUUCUCUAAGGAAUCCAACGAGAUCACGAGAUUCGUGAUAGAGGAUACCUUUGCGGUCUGUGUUCGUUUGUGAUGGACUAGUUGGAGCACCCCUGCAGGGUUCAAUCUUUCGGAAAGCCGUGCCCGCGGUUAUGUGGCAACUUGGAAUAUUUUGUUAACAUCCGGUAUUAGAAAACUUAAACAUAAACCAAUAAAAUAUGCCAACUGUGUGCGUAACCGUGACUGUCCCUUCGAAGAUCUCUCUUCGAUAGGGAACACGGUGGGGUUAUGAAUGCCGUAGGUAGGUGUUCAGGAUCACGUUCUGAUCAAGUAUUCACGAUCGUUAGUAUAGAACACUGUCACUUCUCCUUUGCGUAACCUAGCCACUUAUUCAGCCUUAGGAUGCAGCAGCCUGAAACACUUCACCCCUUCCUUGCCCAAUAACAUGGCUAGAUCUGGCACCAAGGCCUUAGAUUGCUGAGUCCCCGUGGCUCACGGAUUCCUCCGAAACUUCCAGCAGGUACAGGUACCCCAGAGGCAGAGGAUCCCGACGGCACCCAGCUGGCGUGGUAGUACGACGAGGAGACAGAUCGCCUUUACGUUAACUACCCAGAGGACUGAACCGUGGUCGUGAUCGUGGGCCUGCAGCGGGUAGC